UUGAACGCUGGCGGCAGGCCUAACCCAUGCACGUCGAACGGUAACAGGAAGAAGCUUGCUUCUUUGCUGACGAGUGGCGGACGGGUGAGUAAUGUCUGGGAAACUGCCUGAUGGAGGGGGAUAACUACUGGAAACGGUAGCUAAUACCGCAUAACGUCGCAAGACCAAAGAGGGGGACCUUCGGGCCUCUUGCCAUCGGAUGUGCCCAGAUGGGAUUAGCUAGUAGGUGGGGUAACGGCUCACCUAGGCGACGAUCCCUAGCUGGUCUGAGAGGAUGACCAGCCACACUGGAACUGAGACACGGUCCAGACUCCUACGGGAGGCAGCAGUGGGGAAUAUUGCACAAUGGGCGCAAGCCUGAUGCAGCCAUGCCGCGUGUAUGAAGAAGGCCUUCGGGUUGUAAAGUACUUUCAGCGGGGAGGAAGGGAGUAAAGUUAAUACCUUUGCUCAUUGACGUUACCCGCAGAAGAAGCACCGGCUAACUCCGUG
rnacentral:rRNA from 1 species